rnacentral:misc_RNA from 1 species
GAUGAAGAACGCAGCGAAAUGCGAUAAGUAGUGUGAAUUGCAGAAUUCAGUGAAUCAUCGAAUCUUUGGACGCACAUUGCGCCCCUUGGUAUUCCAUGGGGCAUGCCUGUUCGAGCGUCAUUUGUACCUUCAAGCUCUGCUUGGUGUUGGGUGUUUGUCUCGCCUCUGCGUGUAGACUCGCCUCAAAAUAAUUGGCAGCCGGCGUAUUGAUUUCGGAGCGCAGUACAUCUCGCGCUUUGCACUCAUAACGACGACGUCCAAAAGUACAUUUUUACACUCUUGACCUCGGAUCAGGUAGGGAUACCCGCUGAACUUAAGCAUAUCAAUAAGCGGAGGA